rnacentral:rRNA from 1 species
UACGUAGGGUGCAAGCGUUAAUCGGAAUUACUGGGCGUAAAGCGUGCGCAGGCGGUUAUGUAAGACAGAUGUGAAAUGCCCGGGCUUAACCUGGGAACUGCAUUUGUGACUGCAUGGCUAGAAUCUGGCAGAGGGGGGGUAGAAUUCCACGUGUAGCAGUGAAAUGCGUAGAUAUGUGGAGGAACACCGAUGGCGAAGGCAGCCCCCCUGGGCCAAUACUGACGCUCAUGCACGAAAAGCGUGGGGGAGCAAAACAGG